AUCCUUUUAUUAUAUUUCCUGCCCUUGUUUUAAUCACAUUUGACUACUACAAAUGCCUCUUAUUUUUCAAAUAUUCUUUUUCCAGUCUGCAUUCUAAAACCAGAGCUCUCCAUUAUACAACAGUCUUGCACCUUGUGUCCUUUUAUUGUCACAGGGGUUUUCCCCUUCUCUUUUAUCUCUGAGAUUUUACCUCAGGAAAUUCCCCUGGGUCAUCUGUUUCUAUCAGGUUCUACUUCCUUUUCAGGAUUACCUUGGCUUUCCAGAUGCCAUUCUGGAUACUUUUCUUGUUGUUCUUCUUUUUUUAAACUCUUAUCUUCUCUCUCAAAAUCAACACUCAAUAUCAGGUCUAAGUCAGAAGAGUGGUAUGGACUAGGCCAUUGGGGCUAAAUGACUUGCCCAGGGUCACCCAGCUAGCUGGACACUUUUUCACUUCCCUGACACAUGAGUCUUCUUGUUGUUUACGUGCCCAUCCAUUAUCCCUGCGGUGUCACCGCAACGGUAAAACAUGUCAGUGACUAUAAUGGACUAAUUUUCUCUUUGAAUUGCUUCCCACAGUCGAUUAUGUGCCAUACAACUCAGAUUAUUACAGCCCUGAUGACCAAUACAUCAACUCAAAUGAUUACAACCAAUAUGACCAAUACAUCAACUCAAAUGAUUACAACCAAUAUGGUAAGUUAGCCUAUUCCUUUUUAAUUACAGAAACUUUUCUUCAGAUUAAGGGACCCAAAAGACAGGAAUGAUUUAAGUUUCUUCCGCUGUUAGAAAAAGGCAGAGACCAGCCUUGGCAAUGAUUAAAAAGCAUUAGGUGCCCCAUCUAGAAACUUUCCAAAUUAGAACUUUCCAGAUCCAUGUUAGGUCAAAGUUUAUGAUAGCCAAUCCAUAUUCUCUACUGUUUUUGUCCAUGACCCAUUUCCCUGAUGUCCAUUGCUGGCCAUAUUCAUGCAGAGAAGCAAUUGCCAGUUAAGUCUUCAAAAGAAGGCUUAGGACAUUGAACUCUAUAGUGUCCCCAUUCAGCAGGAGAGGUAUGUUGGUCUUAGACUUUGUUCUACAUGGAUUUUCUGGUAAAAAACAAAAACAAAAAUAAAAAUAAAAAAACUAAGAAAAUUUUGGCA
rnacentral:lncRNA from 1 species